rnacentral:rRNA from 1 species
CUCCUGGAUUCAGCGGCGGACGGGUGAGUAAUGCCUAGGAAUCUGCCUGGUAGUGGGGGACAACGUUUCGAAAGGAACGCUAAUACCGCAUACGUCCUACGGGAGAAAGCAGGGGACCUUCGGGCCUUGCGCUAUCAGAUGAGCCUAGGUCGGAUUAGCUAGUUGGUGAGGUAAUGGCUCACCAAGGCGACGAUCCGUAACUGGUCUGAGAGGAUGAUCAGUCACACUGGAACUGAGACACGGUCCAGACUCCUACGGGAGGCAGCAGUGGGGAAUAUUGGACAAUGGGCGAAAGCCUGAUCCAGCCAUGCCGCGUGUGUGAAGAAGGUCUUCGGAUUGUAAAGCACUUUAAGUUGGGAGGAAGGGCAGUAAAUUAAUACUUUGCUGUUUUGACGUUACCGACAGAAUAAGCACCGGCUAACUCUGUGCCAGCAGCCGCGGUAAUACAGAGGGUGCAAGCGUUAAUCGGAAUUACUGGGCGUAAAGCGCGCGUAGGUGGUUUGUUAAGUUGGAUGUGAAAUCCCCGGGCUCAACCUGGGAACUGCAUCCAAAACUGGCAAGCUAGAGUAUGGUAGAGGGUGGUGGAAUUUCCUGUGUAGC